CAAAAAUAUCGAAUGCCAUGUUGAUGUUGCACAGAAGGAAAGUUGGAGAGAGGAUGUAUAGAACAGGGGAAUCAUGAUUAGCUUUGGAUAGAAGAAGAUGAAGACAUUUUAAGUCCCGUUGCUGCAUUGUGCCUGAGAUGAUUUUCACAGCGAUGGCGUUUGAUAACUUGGACAAGUUUGUGGAUGUAGAUGCUUAGCCAAUCAGUCACUAGGCUUGUGAAUAUGGAAUCCGGAUGCUCACAAGGACAAGAGCUGUAUGAAAAAAACCCCAAAAAGAAAUUGUGCAAGGAAAGUUUGAAGUGUCUGUGGGACUGGGAAUGAUCAUCAUCCAACUUCCUGAGCCCUCGUACUGAAAGUGAAUGCAUUCGUGACACCAAUUAUCUGUCAACCCUAUAACAUAACCAUUUACUAAUUUCAUGGGAUAUAUCAGUGAGGAAGUGAUUCU